rnacentral:rRNA from 1 species
AGAGUUUGAUCCUGGCUCAGGAUGAACGCUAGCUACAGGCUUAACACAUGCAAGUCGAGGGGAAACGACAUCGAAAGCUUGCUUUUGAUGGGCGUCGACCGGCGCACGGGUGAGUAACGCGUAUCCAACCUGCCCACCACUUGGGGAUAACCUUGCGAAAGUAAGACUAAUACCCAAUGACGUCUCUAGAAGACAUCUGAAGGAGAUUAAAGAUUUAUCGGUGAUGGAUGGGGAUGCGUCUGAUUAGCUUGUUGGCGGGGUAACGGCCACGAAGGCGACGAUCGAGUAGGGGUUCUGAGAGGAACGGUCCCCCANAUUGGAACUGAGACACGGUCCAAACUCCGUACGGGAGGCA